GCGAGGAACCCCCGAGUCCUGCCGCGUUAAUGCAACCUAACCUGCCUCCGCGCCGAUUGGCCUAACUUGACAAUCGUGAGUUUUGAUUGGCUGGGGCCAGCAGGUUAGGCUGACUGGGAUCAGGUGAUGAGUCACCUGAUUAUACCGCUUCACGUGACGGAGGGAGGUCGGGAGGAACCAAGUAGCUGGGAUUCCAUUCCUCAGGGGGACACGCCCCACGGAGAUGGACCACUCCCUGCAAGGGAGGAGGCGGUGCCGGAUCGGGGUCAGAUGCGGGAUGCCCUCACGACUGCGAUGGGUGCAGAAAAAACCCGGAGCCUGGCCGAGCGGACCCGUGGGGCAGGGAAACCUAAAAGCGGAGCCCGAGACUCGCUUUCCGCUGCUAGGACUUCUGACUCAUUCAGUGCACCAGGAAUCAAACAGAACUGUGUAGUGAAUGUGGUUUUGUCUACAAGAACCCUGCCUCCUUUGUUGUAGAGACUGGAUGUUGUGUAGCAAAUAAAGCAGAGAAUUAUAGGGA